rnacentral:sRNA from 2 species
UAUCUCUCUGUACAGGGAAGGAUGAGAAGCUUCGAUUAAGGUUCGAUUCGAGCGCAGCGAGAAAGCGUUGCCAACGGCAACGGCCCGAAGGGCGCGACGCGCCGAGUCAUCCUUCCCCCACCAUAA